rnacentral:rRNA from 1 species
AUUGAACGCUGGCGGUAUGCUUAACACAUGCAAGUCGAACGGUAGCAGGCCUUCGGGCGCUGACGAGUGGCGGACGGGUGAGUAAUGCCUAGGAAUCUGCCUGGUAGUGGGGGAUAACGUUCGGAAACGGACGCUAAUACCGCAUACGUCCUACGGGAGAAAGCAGGGGACCUUCGGGCCUUGCGCUAUCAGAUGAGCCUAGGUCGGAUUAGCUAGUUGGUGAGGUAAUGGCUCACCAAGGCGACGAUCCGUAACUGGUCUGAGAGGACGAUCAGCCACACUGGAACUGAGACACGGUCCAGACUCCUACGGGAGGCUG